ACGGGAGGCAGCAGUGGGGGAUAUUGCACAAUGGGGGAAACCCUGAUGCAGCGACGCCGCGUGAGUGAUGAAGUAUUUCGGUAUGUAAAGCUCUAUCAGCAGGGAAGAAAAUGACGGUACCUGACUAAGAAGCUCCGGCUAACUACGUGCCAGCAGCCGCGGUAAUACGUAUGGAGCAAGCGUUAUCCGGAUUUACUGGGUGUAAAGGGAGCGUAGACGGCGUGGCAAGUCUGAUGUGAAAGCUCUGGGCUCAACCCAGAAACUGCAUUGGAAACUGUAAUGCUAGAGUGUAGGAGAGGUAAGCGGAAUUCCUAGUGUAGCGGUGAAAUGCGUAGAUAUUAGGAGGAACACCAGUGGCGAAGGCGGCUUACUGGACGAUAACUGACGUUGAGGCUCGAAAGCGUGGGGAGCAAACAGGAUUAGAUACCCUGGUA
rnacentral:rRNA from 1 species